AGGGGGGGGGCGACAGGAGAGGAAUGCCUUCCUUUUACCUUGGAAAAUCAUCUCUUCUCCAUCUAGUGCAAACACUAUUGCAAGAAGGCCUGAUAGCUCAGGUAACAGGAAGGAGUGCUCCAGGUCUUAAGAGUCUAAGACCUUCUUGCAAGGGUGCUAUGCCAGAGGGAAAAGAGUUUGACAGAGGGCUGGAAGGCCAGUAAAAGCUGCUUUGUGGGCUAGAUCUGGCCCUGGACUGAGGAUUCAUCAACAUGCUCUGUGGCUUCAAAAACGGACUUUCAACAAUCUGAUCACCUCCAAGGCCCUUGUCUUAGACGUCAAGAAAAUCUGGGCUUUCUGAAAUGACAGGGAAGGCAGUAUCACUGUUUAACACUCUGUCAGGCAAUAGAAUUGGGAUGCCUGCCACCUUUUUGUGAGGACCAUCAAGUGUGGUAGAAGUCAUCUGAAACCCCUGAAAACAAAUGCCUCUGAAUGCAGGGAGUCUGUGCUCAAAUCAUUUCUACCACACAUCUGUUUCUACCCUUAUUUGAGCAUGUCUGACAUGAAGGCACCCACUGUCUAACCUAAUCAGUCUGUCUUGUAUGUAAUCAUCACCAUCACCUAGCAGUGACCCCAUGGACUGCAAAUUCUGAUCACCACUGCUGAGGCAUGGACGAUGAGCGCAAAGUAAUCAAUCUGUGCAUUUACCAGCUACUACCACUUAGCAGAAACCAAGAAGGGCAACAAUCAUACAGUUCAGGAGCGACCAUGCUCAAACUGACAGCUAGGAAUGUCUCCAUGCACCACUACAUAGAUUAUAGUUGCUGUCAUGAUUACUAUCAGUACAGCCUGUUUGUUACAGACAGCCCAGGGAAAAUAUAAGCAGCCACAGCAAUUUCUAACUACGUGUACUGCAGUGAUCCUAAAAUAGCCACUUCUUCUUAUAACUGUUAUAUUCAGGGUAAUGUUACACUGGUAUACUAGAUAGCCAUAAUCAUAUUAACUCCCAGCAUGCCUUUGCUAUCCUUAGCAGACAUUGAGCACACACAAAGUGCACUGACAUUAAGAGAGGAUGUGCACGAGUAAUUCUGAGAAAUUAAAGAAAUUAA